GUGCUCACUUUGGCAGCACAUAUACUAAAAUUGGGAUGAUACAGAGAAGACUGGCAUGGCCCCUGGGCAAGGAUGGCCCACAAAUUCAUGAAGCAUUCCAUGUUUUU
ensembl:snRNA U6 U6 spliceosomal RNA